CUCUGCGCAAGGGAUCUUUUGGUUC
rnacentral:rRNA from 1 species